CCAAUAAUAUGUAAUAAUUUUCAGCGUUAUGGAAUCAGAGAACUGGGUGUUGACAUGGAUUGUUCAUCACCUAUCAGACCGUACCAGUAAAUUUUGUGGGGGUCAUUUUUGAAAAAUGAGGCAGUUUAGAAUACCAAAUAAAUAUUGUUCUUGAUUUAUGUAACAACAUUCUUGUAUAACUUUGCAACUAGAUAUCCAGUUACUUUAUGAAAAACACACAGCUCAGGAAAACGAGAAAAAAUGAUAUAAGUGUAAAUGUAGUUUGAGUAAGUUUCGAAACAAUUGGAUAGCUGCCUAAUGUAAAAGCAAAUAACUAAGUGAAAGAAUUGGUAGUAAUUGAUCAUGUGUAUCCCCAGCAGUAAAAGAAGUACAGGUCAGAUCAAACUCACUUUUAUAGAGCUAUAUAAAGUU
rnacentral:lncRNA from 1 species